GUCGAGAUCCAGCUGGGCCAGGUCCGCUCGGUGGAGGAGGCGCUGCGCGCUGUCGCCAACCAGGCGCGGGCAGAGUAAAGCGGUGCGAGGAUCCGAGCCCGAGUCUGAGCGUGUCGCGGGUGGGGACCGGGAACCAGGACUGGGCCAGGGGAGGCGCGGGCCGCUGGGUGCAGGGGAGAAGCCCGCCCCUGUGCGCUUCCGGCUGCGAGCAACACCGGGUCCUAGGCGGGCGUCCGCUCGGGUCCACGGGCCCCGUCACGGUUCAUAGGCGCGAGGGCCUGGGCGCCUGAUCACCCUCACGGGGAGGGACGCAGCCUGCGCCCUGCCCUCCGCGCCGCAUCCUGGCUCCACUGCUCCCCCUCUGCCCCCGACGCUGGCCCUUUCCCGCCUUGUAGCCGUCACGAGUUGGGUCCCUGUCACCCAGGAGUGAGCGCCGCCCCUCAGGACUCGGGGUCACCAGGGCCAUACGUUCAGCGGGCUGUACUGGCUGCUCCUCCAAGGCGCUGCUGCUCAGCUGCCUGCUGUUUCUGAAGAAGGAGGCCCCGCGGACAGGCGGCCCCACCACCCGACGCCCCCUUCUGGGCUCCCUGGGGUCCCGGCGUGGCCAGUGCCCACCCAACCGCACAGUGGCCAACACCUCACUGGCCCUGCCCAGCCGUCACCGCCUCC
ensembl:lncRNA